rnacentral:rRNA from 1 species
CUGCUGCCUCCCGUAGGAGUUUGGACCGUGUCUCAGUUCCAAUGUGGGGGACCUUCCUCUCAGAACCCCUACGCAUCGUCGGCUUGGUGGGCCGUUGCCCCACCAACUACCUAAUGCGCCGCAUGCCCAUCCGUGACCGGGGUCGCCCCCUUUGGCCGGCAGGGGAUGUCCCCUCCCGGCAUUAUGUUGUAUUAGGCGGGAUUUCUCCCGGUUAUCCAUCUGUCACGGCCAGGUUGCAUACGUGUUACUCACCCGUGCGCCGGUCGCCGGUGG